AUGCUUGGUUUGGUAGCACAUAUACGAAAUUUGGAAUGACACAUGGAAUAUUAGCAAGUUCCUAUGAAAGAAUUACAUGCAAAUUUGUGGAACAUUCCAUACUUUU